AUGAACGCUGGCGGCAUGCCUAACACAUGCAAGUCGAUCGGUAAGGCUCUUCGGAGUACCCGAGAGGCGGACGGCUGAGUAACGCGUAGGAACACACCCUGCAGGGAGGGAUAAGACACCGAAAGGUGUUCUAAUACCGCAUACGGUCUUCGGAUUAAAGCAUUUAUGCGCUGAAGGAGUGGCCUGCGUCAUAUUAGAUAGUUGGUGAGGUAAUGGCUCACCAAGUCGAUGAUGUGUAGCUGGUCUGAGAGGAUGAUCAGCCAGACUGGAACUGAGACACGGUCCAGACUCCUACGGGAGGCAGCAGUGAGGAAUAUUUCACAAUGAGCGAAAGCUUGAUGGAGCAAUGCCGCGUGCAGGAUGAAGGCCCUCGGGUUGUAAACUGCUUUUAUAAGAGAAGAUUAUGACGGUAACUUAUGAAUAAGGGACGGCUAACUACGUG
rnacentral:rRNA from 1 species